rnacentral:rRNA from 1 species
AGAGUUUGAUCCUGGCUCAGGAUGAACGCUGGCGGCGUGCUUAACACAUGCAAGUCGAACGAACCUUCGGGUUAGUGGCGGACGGGUGAGUAACGCGUGAGAAUCUGCCCUCAGGAGGGGGAUAACGGCUGGAAACGGCCGCUAAUACCCCAUAUGCCGAGAGGUGAAAUGAAUUUCGCCUGAGGAUGAGCUCGCGUCUGAUUAGCUAGUUGGUAAGGUAAGAGCUUACCAAGGCAUCGAUCAGUAGCUGGUCUGAGAGGAUGAUCAGCCACACUGGGACUGAGACACGGCCCAGACUCCUACGGGAGGCAGCAGUGGGGAAUUUUCCGCAAUGGGCGAAAGCCUGACGGAGCAACGCCGCGUGAGGGAUGAAGGCCUCUGGGCUGUAAACCUCUUUUCUCAAGGAAGAAGACAUGACGGUACUUGAGGAAUAAGCCACGGCUAAUUCCGUGCCAGCAGCCGCGGUAAUACGGGAGUGGCAAGCGUUAUCCGGAAUUAUUGGGCGUAAAGCGUCCGCAGGCGGCCUUUUAAGUCUGUUUUAAAGCGUGGAGCUCAACUCCAUUUCGGCAAUGGAAACUGGAAGGCUGGAGUGUGGUAGGGGCAGUGGGAAUUCCCGGUGUAGCGGUGAAAUGCGUAGAUAUCGGGAAGAACACCAGUGGCGAAGGCGCUCUGCUGGGCCAUAACUGACGCUCAUGGACGAAAGCCAGGGGAGCGAAGGGAUUAGAUACCCCUGUAGUCCUGGCCGUAAACGAUGAACACUAGGUGUCGGGGGAAUCGACCCCCUCGGUGUCGUAGCCAACGCGUUAAGUGUUCCGCCUGGGGAGUACGCACGCAAGUGUGAAACUCAAAGGAAUUGACGGGGGCCCGCACAAGCGGUGGAGUAUGUGGUUUAAUUCGAUGCAACGCGAAGAACCUUACCAGGGUUUGACAUCCUGCGAAUCCCUUGGAAACUUGGGAGUGCCUUCGGGAGCGCAGAGACAGGUGGUGCAUGGCUGUCGUCAGCUCGUGUCGUGAGAUGUUGGGUUAAGUCCCGCAACGAGCGCAACCCACGUCUUUAGUUGCCAGCAUUUAGUUGGGCACUCUAGAGAGACCGCCGGUGAUAAACCGGAGGAAGGUGUGGAUGACGUCAAGUCAUCAUGCCCCUUACAUCCUGGGCUACGCACGUACUACAAUGCUACGGACAAAGGGCAGCAAACUCGCGAGAGCUAGCAAAUCCCAUAAACCGUGGCUCAGUUCAGAUCGUAGGCUGCAACUCGCCUACGUGAAGGAGGAAUCGCUAGUAAUCGCAGGUCAGCAUACUGCGGUGAAUACGUUCCCGGGCCUUGUACACACCGCCCGUCACACCAUGGAAGUUGGCCACGCCCGAAGCCGUUACUCCAACCCUUGUGGAGGAGGACGUCGAAGGUGGGGCUGAUGACUGGGGUGAAGUCGUAACAAGGUA